UUUUUUUUUUUUGGUCUCAAGUAGGAGGCCUCCCCCCCACCCCCACCCCAGCCCCCCACCACCCCCGGCCUAAGCAGCUACCAUGGCCGAGGUCCCCGGCGCGGCGUUGUCCCAGGCGGGAUGGUAUCUUUCAGAUGAAGGCAUUGCAGCUUGUACAAGUUCUCCUGACAAAGUCAAUGUAAAUGACAUCAUCCUGAUUGCUCUCAAUACAGAUCUGAGAACAAUUGGCAAGAAAUUCCUUCCCAGUGACAUCAAUGGUGGAAAGAUUGAAAAGCUUGAAGGUCCAUGUGUUUUGCAAAUUCAAAAAAUUCGCAAUGUUGCUGCACCAAAGGACAACGAAGAGUCUCAGGCUGCACCCAGGAUGCUGCGCUUGCAGAUGACAGAUGGUCAUAUAAGUUGCACAGCAGUGGAAUUUAGUUAUAUGUCAAAAAUAAGCCUGAACACACCACCUGGAACUAAAGUUAAGCUCUCUGGUGUUGUUGACAUAAAAAAUGGCUUCCUGCUCUUGGAUGACUCUAACACCACAGUUCUUGGCGGUGAAGUGGAACACCUUAUUGAGAAAUGGGAGUUACAGAGAAGCUUAUCCAAACACAAUAGAAGCAAUAUUGGAACCGAAGGUGGGCCCCCUCCUUUUGUGCCUUUUGGACAGAAGUGUGUGUCUCAUGUUCAAGUGGAUAGCAAAGAACUUGACCGAAGAAAGACGUUGCAAGUUACAAUGCCUGUCAAACCUACAAAUGAUAAUGAUGAAUUUGAAAAACAAAGGACUGCUGCAAUUGCUGAAGUUGCAAAGAGCAAAGAAACCAAGACAUUUGGAGGAGGUGGUGGUACUGCUAGAAGUAAUCUCAAUAUGAGUGCUGCUGGUAACCGAAAUAGGGAAGUUUUGCAGAAAGAAAAAUCAACCAAAUCAGAGGGAAGACCUGAAGGUGUUUAUAGAGAACUGGUUGAUGAGAAGGCUCUGAAGCAUAUAACAGAAAUGGGCUUCAGCAAGGAAGCAUCAAGGCAAGCGCUUAUGGAUAACAGCAACAACCUGGAAGCAGCAUUGAAUGUACUUCUUAACAGCAAUAAACAAAAACCCAUCAUGGGUCCUCCUAUGAGAGGUAGAGGAAAAGGCAGGGGACGAAUAAGAUCUGAAGAUGAAGAGGACCUGGGAAAUGCAAGGCCAUCAGCACCAAGCACAUUAUUUGACUUCUUAGAAUCUAAAAUGGGCACAUUGAAUGUGGAAGAGCCUAAGUCACAGCCACAGCAGCUUCAUCAGGGUCAACACAGAUUGUCAAAUACUGAACAAAAUGGAGUAAAAGACAAUAAUCAACCACGACAUCUCCUGCGAAAUGAUACCAGGCAGCCAAGAAAUGAAAAACCUCCUCGUUUCCAAAGGGACUCCCAAAUUUCAAAGUCAGUAUUAGAAAGCAGUUUACCUAGAAACAGAGGUUCUGAAAGACCAAGUACGUCUUCGGGAUCUGAAUUAUGGGCUGAAGAGAGAAUCAAGUGUGAUCGACCAUAUUCUAGAUACGACAGAACUAAAGAUACUUCAUAUUCUUUAAGUGCUCAGCACAGUGAUGUUGCUUUUAAAAAGAGAGAUAACUCCAUGCAAAGCAGAUCAGGAAAAGGUCCAUCCUGUGUGGAGGCUAAAGAUAAUCUACUUCCUCAAGAAUCCAUAGAUUAUAAUAAUCAAAAACGUGGAAAAAGAGAAAACCAAACAGCUAAUUCUGACCAUUUUUAUGACAGGAAAUCACGAACAAUAAAUAAUGAAGCUUUCAGUGGUAUAAAGAUUGAAAAACAUUUUAAUGUAAAUACUGAUUACCAGAAUCCUGUCCGAAGUAAUAGUUUCACUGGUGUUCCAAAUGGAGAGACAGAAAUGCCACUGAAAGGAAGACGAGUAGGACCUAUUAAACCAGCAGGACCCAUCACAACUGUACCCUAUGAUGAUAAAAUAUUUUACAAUAGUGGGCCCAAAAGAAGAUCUGGGCCAAUUAAGCCAGAAAAAGUACUAGAAUCUUCUAUUCCUUUGGAGUAUGCAAAAAUGUGGAAACCUGGAGAUGAAUGUUUUGCUCUUUAUUGGGAAGAUAACAAGUUUUACCGAGCAGAAGUUGAAGCCCUCCAUUCUUCUGGUAUGACAGCAGUUGUUAAAUUCAUCGAUUAUGGAAACUAUGAAGAGGUGCUACUAAGCAAUAUCAAGCCCAUUCAGACAGAGGCAUGGCUCCAGGGGAGCUGGAAAUGCACUGGAGGAGUCAGAAGACCUGGGUUGGAGUCCCGGCUCUGCCACUUACUACCUAUGUGACUUUGGGAGGAAGAAGGUACCUAUGACCAAACUCUUGAAUUCCGUAGAGGAGGUGAUGGCCAGCCAAGACGAUCCACUCGACCAACCCAGCAGUUUUACCAACCUCCGCGGGCUCGGAACUAAUGUGAAAAGAGUCUUUGUGAAGAAAGAAGCCAUUACCUGAACCAUCGUGGUCAAAACCUGUUGAUAGAUUUCCACUCACCCAUCAGAUUAAGGUGCAGCCAUGGUGGAUAAUGUUAUUUGAAGAAAGAAACCACAGAUUUUAGGGGGGAAAAUCUCAACCUACACUAAGAACGGGAAAAAGUAUUGAGUUUAAAUAAAGCAAACAAAUACCUUUUACAAGUGAUAGGAAGAAAAUUUUUUUUUCUGACAUCAAUAAAAGAAUUGCGGUAUUAGA